ACCCCGCACCCGCAGUGCGCAUGCGCCCCUCACAUGAGAACAGACGGUGUGAAACCUCCGGAGCAGGAGACGACAGCCGCGGAGAAGCCAUUACUGGGGACACCUCCACCAUGACCGGCCGCUCGUGGAGAGCGUCCUCAUGUGGGAUUCUACUCGACAAACUAACUCACCUUAAUAAUCCGUCGGGAGUACAAUGAUCGAUUUGGGUGGAUCGACUAGACACCAGAUCUAAACGUCCCAGACCUGCUGGAUUUAUCCUGGAAUCUGGACCCGCCAUUGUGUCCACUGUCAUUUCACAAGCUUUACGGGAUGAAGGGACUGAUAUCAAACCAUCUCCAUCACAAACCCUCUCAUGGAAUAUGUUUCUGUCCGCUCUCAAUAAAGACUAAUGGGCAUAAGACCGGCGUCAGUGUGUGGACAGAGCCGGUCCCGGGUGUCUCACUGUCGCAAGAACCCAGAAUAUAUCAGAGACGCGUCUGUAAAUGACUAAUGUUCCCUCAUUAAAAACAUUGGCGCGGGUCGAGAAACAGUCCGUGUCAAUAGAUACCGCCUGUUCGUUCACAAACGGUCUUUGUUCGACGGAUCAAAGGUCAGAGCUAAAGCGAAGUAACCGAGCCUUUUCUUUGUCUAACGCCAUUUUGUGGGACUUUUUAUGCAAUAACGUUGUCGUCAGCCAUUUUGCUUCUUUCUUCUCUGCGAGCGGACAAGACACGGGGAGAAAAACAAUGACAUGUUAUUAACGUGGGAAAGAGGAAACGAUAGUAUAAUAAAAAACAAAAUAAAGACGUGUACCCACCGUGCAAGCUGUCAGUUAUGGUGCCAAUAUGUUACCACAUAAAAGAGGACAUGUCCAUGCUGGGGAUGUUUGUGACAAACGUGUGUAAAAUUUUAUAUUUUCUGCGAUCAGUUCAUUUAUGUGCUAUAAUAGAUGUCCAAGUUAUUUGUAUGGUUAAACCCGGAUUUGGGCUGUGUGACAGUCAUGAAAUACCAGCUUUAAAUUUUAUAAUUACAUUCAGUUAUUAUAAAGAAUAAUGUCAGCAAUCUUAUUAAAUUUAAAUCUGGGGCUUUACAUUCGUUUGUGUAAUCUACUAGAUUUGUAUCUUAAAAUUCAAUCUGAAUGAAAUACAUAUUAUUUUCCCUUUUCAUCUGGAGAAUAGAUUUGUCCUUUUUAAGGCAACACAAAUGCAUAAAAUAUAAAUAUAUACACAGUGAAUAAUGGUUUUAUAUUUAUAAAUUCAAUAUUUCUUUAGAAGCAUUUGUGGAGACAAAUUUGUCUUUAUAUGCAAUAUAUUUCUUCCAUUGUUGAAAAUAUUCGAACAUUUAAUUAAAUAUUAGAAAAUUAAAAAAAUUCUUAAGCUGAAAGUCUUUUAUUAUUAUUUCUAAAAGCAGAUCAAUUAGUGGGUAUAUAAGAAUUAGCUCAUCGGAUACAGUGUAUUAUAGCAACAGCUGUGGGCCUUUAAACCUCGAUUAUUUCUACCUUUGUUUGUCAGAUGGUCAAAAGGAUACAAACUGGUUUUAGAGCCAAACAAGGACUAUAUUUAAUAGUGAAUCUUGCUAGGAGUUGGUGGCUAAAAUACCUCAAGGAUUACUCUGCUAAUUUGUCCAAGAGGUCAUGCAGAGACAUAGAAUAACAUCCUAAACUGCAGGUUUGUUGCCGGAGCUUGUGUUAGUGAAGCGACCAGAAAGGAAAUGAAAUUUAUAAGAUAAUAACAGUCAAGAACAUCAAGUAAAGCAAUCUCCAAAACCUAUUGAGACAAGUUAUACGUGUCUGAAUAUACUGAGGCUACCACAACAAUUUCACAUUGAGACAACGAAAGCUGAUCAACCAAAUCAAAAUAAAAAUAUAACAUGUUUCUGUUCUGGGUUCAUUUUUAUCUAAUAUCAAGACUGAGCUGCAAACUAGUGUACUAAGUUUGAGUUCGAAAAACAUCACACAUUGAAAAUGCACCUCAUGGCAUUUAAGUGACAAAUAUUACAUUAUCAGUAUAAAAGCAUGAAUCGCUUGUGUUGCCCAAAUAAUACAGAGACUAAAUCAGUCAGUUAGAAGGGCUGUUAGUUGUAGAAGUCUCUUGUGGCUUCCUUCUCUUAAGCCCGAGGUCUUCUCCAAUGCUCUCUUUCGACGUCAUCUGAAUAAUCCUCUGCAUCAUAUCUGCACACAACAAACAUGACAGAUGAAAUGUGUGGCACAAGACGAUAGGAGAGCUUACAGCCAAGCUGCAGCUGCAGGACGAGCUUAGACCACAGAUAGUCUGGAUAUCUACUAACACUGCUACUGUAUGAUAUCAUUUUCUGUAACAUUAUACUGAACUUAAGUCUGGAGUCCUCAAUUUCCUAGAUUUUUUCUGUUAGUUGAUUUGGGUCUUAAACAGUAUUUUCCUUUUCAUUAGCAGAAUAGAUUAAACCCACUUUUUAAACCAACAUUAACUUUUGUAUGAUUCAGCUGCAUGUUGAAAUUUGAAACUGUACUAUUUAAUAAUUCUACCUCAGUGAUAGUGAAAGUAGGCCCAGUGUUCUGAAUGAGAGACUAUUCUGACCUGAAUCUGUCUUGGGGGUCUUAAACCUUGUCCACCUGGGAUACAAGUUUGAGAUGUUCAGUCUCAUCUUGGGACCCAGUGUAAUGAACACAGCGGUACUCUGUCCCAGUUUGUGAGUCUCGGCGGACAGAGAGUGCUUGUGGCCGUGUGCGCUGCUUCCAGGGAGACUCACUGACCUGUGAGGAUGCUGCAUCCAGCAGAUCCAUAGUGGGGAUUAGACAGCUGGCCUCGCCCAAGAAACACAUUAGGAUGUGGAGCACGUCAGCCCAGCGUCCAACCGUAAGCAUCAGGACCAUCAAGCCCCCGAGACGCACCAUCACUGUGUUCAGCACAACCUCGCUGCCAGACGCACCGUGCUGAGCGUCUGCAGAACCCAGAGCGCAGCACGAUGGGGAAAUAUGUGGUGAAAAUGCAGGAUGGGCUUGUAAGACAGCUACUAAUUUUGGAUGCCUAAAUUUAUUACAUUUGCAUUGAUGAUCAGAUAAGUACUGGGGGAAGCAACAAACCGCGAACCACAAUGUUUAAAAUACAUGUGCAUGUUUCUCUCUGUUCCUCACCCUGCAUGUACACCACCAACAGUGUGUAACAGAUAGUCAGUGGUGUCCAGAACCUGAGGGCCUCUGUUGCAGACAGGAAGUGUUGAUUGAUGAUUGAUACAGAGGCCACCGCAGCCACGAUGAAGAUGAGGAUCAUUGUCCUGCACAGCAUGGGCAGCAGGAGCUGGCCUGAUGAGAGGAGGCUGAUGCAAACGCCACAGUAGCGCUGCGAGCUGUGGAGUUUGUACAGAGCCAUGACAUGGUGCAUCAGGCGGGUGGCCUGCCGAGCCAGGAACCAGCUGAGUGCCGCUGCCAAGAGCAGACAUAGCCAGCGCUGGGACGCCCCCUCGUGGAGAAAAUGCAGACUGCAGCUUAGGGCACAGCCCACUGAGAACUGGCUUUGAACCAACACUUGCUGCAAACAUGUCCUAUACUCCUGAGGGAAUAAAGGGUCACAUGAAGAGGAAUGAUGGAUUAAUGAACAUGCAACAAGUGAUUCAAGUGAUACAUUUGAGUAUCAGGCAUAUUUUCUAUCAAAUCAAUGUCUUACUCUUCCAGAUGUCACCAAUCCAGAGACAGUCCGAAGACAAAAUUCUAACACCACCAAGGACGCCACACGAGAGCCCACGACAGACAGUAUCCCAGUCACAAUGAAAAACUGGAGCAUCCCAGAGGAAUGGCUCUCACCGUCUCAGUGUAAGUCGUGGGUUUAAAGAGCUGGAGACCAGAGCUUUAUGUGCAGAGCGUUGACUGGUUCUGACUAAGGCUGAGCAGUGAAGCAGUGAGUGAACAGUGAUUCCAGCAUCAACCUCUGACGAGAG